GUGGUUGUAGCUCAGUUGGUUAGAGCACCAGAUUGUGGUUCUGGGGGUCGUGGGUUCGAACCCCAUCAUCCACCCA
rnacentral:tRNA from 1 species